UACGUAGGGAGCAAGCGUUAUCCGGAUUUAUUGGGUGUAAAGGGUGCGUAGACGGGAAUGUAAGUUAGUUUUGAAAUCCCUCGGCUCAACUGAGGAAUUGGAACUAAAACUGCAUUUCUUGAGUGCAGGAGAGGAAAGUGGAAUUCCUAGUGUAGCGGUGAAAUGCGUAGAUAUUAGGAGGAACACCAGUGGCGAAGGCGACUUUCUGGACUGUAACUGACGUUGAGGCACGAAAGUGUGGGGAGCAAACA
rnacentral:rRNA from 1 species